rnacentral:lncRNA from 1 species
AUGAAAAGGUGGAGACCUAUUAAUUCUAUCUGAUUGCCAAAGGAUUUCAUCAAAGUUAUAGUGUUGACUAUGAUGAGAAGUUUUUCUUAUGGCAAUCCUCAAGUCCAUUUAGAUUGAAUCAAGCUUCUCUGAGUUAAAACAUAUAUUUUAAACAUAUAACUUUAUUGAGAAUGAAGUAGAAUCCUAUAUGUAUAAAUGGGC